rnacentral:rRNA from 1 species
UACGAAGGGGGCUAGCGUUGUUCGGAAUCACUGGGCGUAAAGCGCACGCAGGCGGAUCGUUAAGUCAGGGGUGAAAUGCCGAGGCUCAACCUCGGAACUGCCUUUGAUACUGGCGAUCUUAGAGUCCGGGAGAGGUGAGUGGAAUUCCUAGUGUAGAGGUGAAAUUCGUAGAUAUUAGGAAGAACACCAGUGGCGAAGGCGGCUCACUGGCCCGGUACUGACGCUGAGGCGCGAAAGCGUGGGGAGCAAACAGG